rnacentral:rRNA from 1 species
UACGAAGGGGGCUAGCGUUGUUCGGAAUUACUGGGCGUAAAGGGCGUGUAGGCGGUACUUCAAGUCAGGCGUGAAAGCCCCGGGCUCAACCUGGGAACCGCGCUUGAGACUGGAGAACUAGAGUUCGGGAGAGGAUGGUGGAAUUCCCAGUGUAGAGGUGAAAUUCGUAGAUAUUGGGAAGAACACCGAUGGCGAAGGCAGCCAUCUGGACCGAAACUGACGCUGAGGCGCGAAAGCGUGGGGAGCAAACAGG